rnacentral:rRNA from 1 species
GGGACAACAGUUGGAAACGACUGCUAAUACCGCAUAAGCCCACGGGUCGGCAUCGACCAGAGGGAAAAGGAGCAAUCCGCUUUGAGAUGGCCUCGCGUCCGAUUAGCUAGUUGGUGAGGUAAUGGCCCACCAAGGCGACGAUCGGUAGCCGGACUGAGAGGUUGAACGGCCACAUUGGGACUGAGACACGGCCCAGACUCCUACGGGAGGCAGCAGUGGGGAAUAUUGCACAAUGGGGGAAACCCUGAUGCAGCGACGCCGCGUGGAGGAAGAAGGUCUUCGGAUUGUAAACUCCUGUUGUUGAGGAAGAUAAUGACGGUACUCAACAAGGAAGUGACGGCUAACUACGUGCCAGCAGCCGCGGUAAAACGUAGGCCACAAGCGUUGUCCGGAAUUACUGGGUGUAAAGGGAGCGCAGGCGGGAAGACAAGUUGGAAGUGAAAUCUAUGGGCUCAACCCAUAAACUGCUUUCAAAACUGUUUUUCUUGAGUAGUGCAGAGGUAGGCGGAAUUCCCGGUGUAGCGGUGGAAUGCGUAGAUAUCGGGAGGAACACCAGUGGCGAAGGCGGCCUACUGGGCACCAACUGACGCUGAGGCUCGAAAGUGUGGGUAGCAAACAGGAUUAGAUACCCUGGUAGUCCACACCGUAAACGAUGAUUACUAGGUGUUGGAGGAUUGACCCCUUCAGUGCCGCAG